rnacentral:rRNA from 1 species
UACAGAGGUCCCAAGCGUUGUUCGGAUUCACUGGGCGUAAAGGGUGCGUAGGCGGUCGGGUAAGUCUGAUGUGAAAUCUCACAGCUUAACUGUGAAACUGCAUUGGAUACUAUCCGGCUCGAGGAAUGGAGGGGAGACUGGAAUACUUGGUGUAGCAGUGAAAUGCGUAGAUAUCAAGUGGAACACCAGUGGCGAAGGCGGUGGUGUGGGCCGGAACUGACGCUGAGGAGCGAAAGCGUGGGGAGCGAACAGG